rnacentral:rRNA from 1 species
CCCUUAGAUGUUCUGGGCUGCACGCGCGCUACACUGAAGCUAUCAACACGUUUUCCCUCCCUGAGAAGGGCGGGUAACCUUUUGAAUCAGCUUCGUGGUAGGGAUCGGGGCUUGCAAUUGUUCCCCGUGAACCAGGAAUUCCUAGUAGACGCGAGUCAUAAGCUCGCAUCGAUUAAGUCCCUGCCCUUUGUACACACCGCCCGUCGCUACUACCGAUUGAACGUUUUAGUGAGGCAUUUGGACCGACGCAUCUCAGUUUAACCGCUGGUUUGUGUUGGAAAGACUUCAAAACUUGAGCGUUUAGAGGAAGUAAAAGUCGUAACA